GACGAACGCUGGCGGCGUGCCUAAUACAUGCAAGUAGAACGCUGAAGAGAGGAGCUUGCUCUUCUUGGAUGAGUUGCGAACGGGUGAGUAACGCGUAGGUAACCUGCCUGGUAGCGGGGGAUAACUAUUGGAAACGAUAGCUAAUACCGCAUGAUAUUGAAUAUCGCAUGAUAAUUAAUUGAAAGAUGCAAUUGCAUCACUACCAGAUGGACCUGCGUUGUAUUAGCUAGUUGGUGAGGUAACGGCUCACCAAGGCGACGAUACAUAGCCGACCUGAGAGGGUGAUCGGCCACACUGGGACUGAGACACGGCCCAGACUCCUACGGGAGGCAGCAGUAGGGAAUCUUCGGCAAUGGGGGGAACCCUGACCGAGCAACGCCGCGUGAGUGAAGAAGGUUUUCGGAUCGUAAAGCUCUGUUGUAAGAGAAGAACGGGUGUGAGAGUGGAAAGUUCACACUGUGACGGUAUCUUACCAGAAAG
rnacentral:rRNA from 1 species